GACGAACGCUGGCGGCGUGCUUAACACAUGCAAGUCGAACGGAAAGGCCCUGCUUUUGUGGGGUGCUCGAGUGGCGAACGGGUGAGUAACACGUGAGUAACCUGCCCUUGACUUUGGGAUAACUUCAGGAAACUGGGGCUAAUACCGGAUAGGAGCUCCUGCUGCAUGGUGGGGGUUGGAAAGUUUCGGCGGUUGGGGAUGGACUCGCGGCUUAUCAGCUUGUUGGUGGGGUAGUGGCUUACGAAGGCUUUGACGGGUAGCCGGCCUGAGAGGGUGACCGGCGACAUUGGGACUACGAUACGGACCAGACUCCUACGGGAGGCAGCAGUGGGGAAUAUUGCACAAUGGGCGGAAGCCUGAUGCAGCAACGCCGCGUGCGGGAUGACGGCCUUCGGGUUGUAAACCGCUUUCGCCUGUGACGAAGCGUGAGUGACGGUAAUGGGUAAAGAAGCACCGGCUAACUACGUG
rnacentral:rRNA from 1 species